rnacentral:rRNA from 1 species
ACGCUGGCGGCACGCCUAACACAUGCAAGUCGAACGCAGUAGCAAUACUGAGUGGCAAACGGGUGAGUAUAAUGUGGGAAUCUGCCUUUUGGUUUGGAAUAACACGAGGAAACUUGUGCUAAUACCGGAUAAGCCCUUACGGGGAAAGUUUUAACGCCGAAAGAUGAGCCCGCACUUGAUUAGCUAGUUGGUAAGGUAAAAGCUUACCAAGGCAACGAUCAAUAGCUGUUCUUAGAGGAAGACCAGCCACAUUGGGACUGAGACACGGCCCAAACUCCUACGGGAGGCAGCAGUGGGGAAUCUUGCACAAUGGGGGAAACCCUGAUGCAGCGAUGCCGCGUGAGUGAAGAAGGCCCUUGGGUUGUAAAACUCUUUCGUCGGGGAAGAAAAUGACUGUACCCGAAUAAGAAGGUCCGGCUAACUUCGUGCCAGCAGCCGCGGUAAUACGAAGGGACCUAGCGUAGUUCGGAAUUACUGGGCUUAAAGAGCUCGUAGGUGGUUAAAAAAGUUGAUGGUGAAAUCCCAAGGCUUAACCUUGGAACUGCCAUCAAAACUUUUUAGCUAGAGUAUGAUAGAGGAAAGUGGAAUUUCUAGUGUAGAGGUGAAAUUCGUAGAUAUUAGAAAGAACACCAAAUGCGAAGGCAACUUUCUGGAUCAUUACUGACACUGAGGAGCGAAAGCAUGGGUAGCGAAGAGGAUUAGAUACCCUCGUAGUCCAUGCCGUAAACGAUGUGUGCUAGACGUUGGAAACAUAGUUUUCAGUGUCGCAGAGAAAUCAUUAAGCACACCGCCUGGG